rnacentral:tRNA from 1 species
GCGGGAAUAGCUCAAGGGGUAGAGCACAACCUUGCCAAGGUUGGGGUCGCGAGUUCGAAUCUCGUUUCCCGCUCCA